AACGAACGCUGGCGGCAUGCCUAACACAUGCAAGUCGAACGAGACCUUCGGGUCUAGUGGCGCACGGGUGCGUAACGCGUGGGAACCUGCCCUUAGGUUCGGAAUAACUCCCCGAAAGGGGUGCUAAUACCGGAUAAUGUCUUCGGACCAAAGAUUUAUCACCUUUGGAUGGGCCCGCGUUGGAUUAGCUAGUUGGUAGGGUAAAAGCCUACCAAGGCGACGAUCCAUAGCUGGUCUGAGAGGAUGAUCAGCCACACUGGGACUGAGACACGGCCCAGACUCCUACGGAAGGAAGCAGUGGGGAAUAUUGGACAAUGGGCGAAAGCCUGAUCCAGCAAUGCCGCGUGAGUGAUGAAGGCCUUAGGGUUGUAAAGCUCUUUUCCCCGGGAUGAUAAUGACAGUAACGGGAGAAUAAGCUCCGGAUAACUCCGU
rnacentral:rRNA from 1 species